rnacentral:lncRNA from 1 species
UACAGCAUGCUAUGGAAAUAUGCCAGAGGGUGACUCCAUGAGGGUGUGCCCCAGAAAUCAGGGAAAGUCUUUACUAAGAAAGUGAGAUUUCAAAGAUUUGGGAGGACUACAAAUUGCCCAUACAAAGCGGGAUGGGGGAGUAGGGUGAACUCAAUACAAAAAUGUUAGCUUCUUUCGGUGAAGGUCUUCCAAACGCAAGUAUCUAACAUUCACCUUAUGCCUGCAGAUACUCUACAUUUGUGUUUUGGCAUUUAAUUUAAUUUCACAGCGAUCAUUCGACGUCAGAAUUUUGGUUCCCAUUCUACAAGUGAGAAAAUUGAGGUUCAGGGAGGUCAAAGGACCCGUUGAAGGCCAUGAAGUAGGAUGCGCCAGAAGCCAGGCUUGAGAGCUGCAUACUCGGCGAGAGUUUCUCCAAGGCAAAGCCUGAAACAGGAACCACAGGCUCUCCAGGGCCCUGGGAGAGUGGGUUGAGAGAAUGGAAGUGAAGAGGAAGGCUUCACCAUCACCUUAACUAACAUGUGUUUCCUACCGUUAAAUAAACAUUAUAGGAGGCCACUGUUUUGGACUAAGUUUCUGCACCAGGCCCCAGCCGACCAGACUAAAAAUCAAAAGAGUCACCCAUGCUAAAGUUCCACAUUACCAAAUGGAAACUGAGUUGCCAUCUAACCUGGGGAGAAAUCAAGAGACAACAGCCAAUUUCCCAAACAGGCCGGUUUAAAUCCUCAAUCAACAUCACAUUUCCCUGCUUUAAUCCUACGCAAAAAAAGGCGGCUUGAAAGAACCUGAUAGUAACCACUUGGUUAUUAUUCUAUUGGUCUGUCCUGCCUUACAAGAAAAGUAAAAGUAACUUUGAAAAAUAACUAUAUACUCUUUUUUUUUUUUUUGAGAUAGAGUCUCGCUCUGUCGCCCAGACUGGAGUGCAGUGGUGCAAUCUCGGCUCACUGCAACCUCUGCUUCCCGGGUUCAAGCGAUUCUCCUGCCUCAGCCUCCCAAGUAAGUGGGAUCAC